rnacentral:rRNA from 1 species
CCCUAGCUGGUCUGAGAGGAUGACCAGCCACACUGGAAUUGAGACACGGUCCAGACUCCUACGGGAGGCAGCAGUGGUGAAUAUUGCACAAUGGGCGCAAGCCUGAUGCAGCCAUGCCGCGUGUAUGAAGAAGGCCCUCGGGUUGUAAAGUACUUUCAGCGAGGAGGAAGGUGUUGAGGUUAAUAACCUCAGCAAUUGACGUUACUCGCAGAAGAAGCACCGGCUAACUCCGUGCCAGCAGCCGCGGUAAUACGGAGGGUGCAAGCGUUAAUCGGAAUUACUGGGCGUAAAGCGCACGCAGGCGGUUUGUUAAGUCAGAUGUGAAAUCCCCGGGCUCAACUUGGGAACUUGCAUUUGAAACUGGCAAGCUUGAGUCUCGUAGAGGGGGGUAGAAUUCCAGGUGUAGCGGUGAAAUGCGUAGAGAUCUGGAGGAAUACCGGUGGCGAAGGCGGCCCCCUGGACGAAGACUGACGUUCAGGUGCGAAAGCGUGGGGAGCAAACAGGAAUAGAUACACUGGUAGUCCACGCUGUAAACGAUGUCGACUUGGAGGUUGUGCCCU